rnacentral:rRNA from 1 species
CUACGUGCCAGCAGCCGCGGUAAUACGGAGGAUGCGAGCGUUAUCCGGAUUUAUUGGGUUUAAAGGGUGCGUAGGCUGUCGGUUAAGUCAGCGGUGAAAUCAGCACGCUUAACGUGUUGUUUGCCGUUGAAACUGUCCGUCUUGAAUGCGCUCGUCGUGGGAGGAAUGUGUGGUGUAGCGGUGAAAUGCAUAGAUAUCACACAGAACACCGAUUGCGAAGGCAUCUCACGAGAGCGUUAUUGACGCUGAUGCACGAAAGCGCGGGUAUCGAACAGGAUUAGAUACCCUGGUAGUCCGCGCUGUAAACGAUGAUGACUAACUGUUGGUUCCAAUGGGAUCAGUGGUCAAGCGAAAGCGUUAAGUCAUCCACCUGGGGAGUACGGCCGCAAGGCUGAAACUCAAAGGAAUUGACGGGGGCCCGCACAAGCGGAGGAACAUGUGGUUUAAUUCGAUGAUACGCGAGGAACCUUACCCGGGCUCGAACGGCGGAUGAAUAUGUUAGAGAGAGCAGU